CAAACCAAAGCUGGCGACCGGCGCACGGGUGAGUAACACGUAUCCAACCUGCCUCAUACUCGGGGAUAGCCUUUCGAAAGAAAGAUUAAUAUCCGAUAGCAUAUAUUUCCCGCAUGGGUUUUAUAUUAAAGAAAUUCGGUAUGAGAUGGGGAUGCGUUCUAUUAGUUUGUUGGGGGGUAACGGCCCACCAAGACUACGAUGGAUAGGGGUUCUGAGAGGAAGGUCCCCCACAUUGGAACUGAGACACGGUCCAA
rnacentral:rRNA from 1 species